CUAUAAAUAGGACCUAGCACCAAGCAUUUUUCAUUCAUCAAGCUAAGUUCAGAGGCUGCAAGUUGCUAGGUUAUUGUGAGAGUGUAAACACUUGGGUUGGGGAUUAUAAGCUUGAUCAUCAUAAGCUUAUCAAACACUUUGGGAAGUGAGGUUCGUUAGUAUCUCGGUUGUGGUUAGAUUGGUCUUUCAAGUCUUUGAGGAAAUCUAAGCUCUUGAGCACAUAAGUUUUGGAGUGUUCCAAAAAGUCCCAACUCAGUCCACAUAUCCCGGUAACUUUGGAAAAUAAGCUUUAGAGGCGGUAAGAUUCGUGACGCUUAGAGGAUGUGUGUCGAUGGUGGA